rnacentral:rRNA from 1 species
UUAGAGUUUGUUUCUGGCUCAGAACGAACGCUGGCGGCGUGGAUAAGACAUGCAAGUCGAACGAGAGAAUUGCUAGCUUGCUAAUAAUUCUCUAGUGGCGCACGGGUGAGUAACACGUGAGUAACCUGCCCCCGAGAGCGGGAUAGCCCUGGGAAACUGGGAUUAAUACCGCAUAGUAUCGAAAGAUUAAAGCAGCAAUGCGCUUGGGGAUGGGCUCGCGGCCUAUUAGUUAGUUGGUGAGGUAACGGCUCACCAAGGCGAUGACGGGUAGCCGGUCUGAGAGGAUGUCCGGCCACACUGGAACUGAGACACGGUCCAGACACCUACGGGUGGCAGCAGUCGAGAAUCAUUCACAAUGGGGGAAACCCUGAUGGUGUGACGCCGCGUGGGGGAAUGAAGGUCUUCGGAUUGUAAACCCCUGUCAUGUGGGAGCAAAUUAAAAAGAUAGUACCACAAGAGGAAGAGACGGCUAACUCUGUGCCAGCAGCCGCGGUAAUACAGAGGUCUCAAGCGUUGUUCGGAAUCACUGGGCGUAAAGCGUGCGUAGGCUGUUUCGUAAGUCGUGUGUGAAAGGCGCGGGCUCAACCCCGCGGACGGCACAUGAUACUGCCAAGACUAGAGUAAUGGAGGGGGGAACCGGAAUUCUCGGUGUAGCAGUGAAAGGCGUAGAUAUCGAGAGGAACACUCGUGGCGAAGGCGGGUUCCUGGACAUUAACUGACGCUGAGGCACGAAGGCCAGGGGAGCGAAAGGGAUUAGAUACCCCUGUAGUCCUGGCAGUAAACGGUGCACGCUUGGUGUGCGGGGAAUCGACCCCCUGCGUGCCGGAGCUAACGCGUUAAGCGUGCCGCCUGGGGAGUACGGUCGCAAGAUUAAAACUCAAAGAAAUUGACGGGGACCCGCACAAGCGGUGGAGUAUGUGGCUUAAUUCGAUGCAACGCGAAGAACCUUACCUGGGCUUGACAUGUAAUGAACAACAUGUGAAAGCAUGCGACUCUUCGGAGGCGUUACACAGGUGCUGCAUGGCCGUCGUCAGCUCGUGUCGUGAGAUGUUUGGUUAAGUCCAGCAACGAGCGCAACCCCUGUUGCCAGUUACCAGCACGUGAAGGUGGGGACUCUGGCGAGACUGCCCAGAUCAACUGGGAGGAAGGUGGGGACGACGUCAGGUCAGUAUGGCCCUUAUGCCCAGGGCUGCACACGUACUACAAUGCCCAGUACAGAGGGGGCCGAAGCCGCGAGGCGGAGGAAAUCCUGAAAACUGGGCCCAGUUCGGACUGUAGGCUGCAACCCGCCUACACGAAGCCGGAAUCGCUAGUAAUGGCGCAUCAGCUACGGCGCCGUGAAUACGUUCCCGGGUCUUGCACACACCGCCCGUCA